rnacentral:rRNA from 1 species
AAUGAACGCUGGCGGCAGGCCUAAAACAUGCAAGUCGAACGCCCUAGCAAUAGGGAGAGGCGCACGGGUGCGUAUCAUGUGGGAAUAUGCCUUUUGGUACGGAACAACGUUUGGAAACGAACGCUAAUACCGUAUGGUCCCUUCGGGGUAAAGAUUUAUCGCCAAAAGAUUAGCCCGCACUGGAUUAGCUAGUUGGUGAGGUAAUGGCUCACCAAGGCGACGAUCCAUAGCUGGUCUGAGAGGAUGAUCAGCCACACUGGGACUGAGACACGGCCCAGACUCCUACGGGAGGCAGCAGUUAGGAAUAUUGGACAAUGGGCGCAAGCCUGAUCCAGCCAUGCCGCGUGAGUGAUGAAGGCCUUCGGGUUGUAAAGCUCUUUAGCCGACGAUUAUAAUGACUGUAGUCGGAGAAUAAGCCCCGGCUAACUUCGUGCCAGCAGCCGCCGUAA